rnacentral:rRNA from 1 species
AUUGAACGCUGGCGGAAUGCUUUACACAUGCAAGUCGAACGGCAGCACGGACUUCGGUCUGGUGGCGAGUGGCGAACGGGUGAGUAAUGUAUCGGAACGUGCCCAGUCGUGGGGGAUAACGUAGUGAAAAUUACGCUAAUACCGCAUACGAUCUAUGGAUGAAAGCGGGGGAUCGCAAGACCUCGCGCGAUUGGAGCGGCCGAUAUCAGAUUAGGUAGUUGGUGGGGUAAAGGCCCACCAAGCCAACGAUCUGUAGCUGGUCUGAGAGGACGACCAGCCAAACUGGAACUGAGACACGGUCCAGACUCCUACGGGAGGCAGCAGUGGGGAAUUUUGGACAAUGGGCGAAAGCCUGACUCAGCCAUUCCGCGUGCAGGAUGAAGGCCCUCGGGUUGUAAACUGCUUUUGUACAGAACGAAAAGGUUUCUACUAAUACUAGGAGCUCAUGACGGUACUGUAAGAAUAAGCACCGGCUAACUACGUGCCAGCCGCCGCCGUAA